CACAUUAUCACAAACAGUUUCAUUCAAAGAGCUUUUUAGUAGCCUACUGCUUUUCAUGCUUUCCAAUGUAUGCCACUUUCAUGAUUCUCAUGAACAUAUGUGAGAUUGUUGGUAUCUCUUCGAGGAGCUUGGUUUCAGAGCCCGGCUAUGAGUAAUCUACCCACACUGUUUCGGUCCUACAGGUGAUGAGGGCAUUGCUUGCAGAGAUGUGCCUGGAGAUUGUGCGGUUUGUAUCUGAGGCCAUCCUGGAGGUCAUCAUCCCUGCAAUUUUCCGUUUUGUACGGAUAUACAGCCAUGUGUCUCCAGUAUCCGGCAAGUCUCUGACAGAAUCAGAGAGAUCCUCUAGCACAAACCUGAAGGUUCGCAAGAGAGGCAGCAGCAAAUCCUCAAGGUCUUGCACGGCCAAAUCAAGCUCCUCACGUAAUGGGUCUCAGACAGUGUUGCCAAAUACUCAGGGAGAUGGUGAGUCUAUAUCAUCUGAGCCACUCAGGGACUUUUUUGGGAUUACUGAGGACAGUCUCCUCACUGGUGUCCAGGAUUCCUUCAAAGAGUCGCUGAACAAUGUCCUCUGUAUCCAAAGAGAGGACCAGGUAGACACUCAAAGUCUAUCCCGGGUUAUUGUUGGAGAAGUGUCAAAGAAGGUCAAUUCCAUAAUCUCUGUGGCCAUCCAAACUCCCAUCUCUGGCCGAAUGUCCCCUGUUAUUUUUGCCAGUGGUGGUGUCUCCAGAACCAAGGUUGUUGAGGAGAUGGUGUCUGGCGUUUCCAACAUACUUCAGAUGUAUAUUAAUGGGAAGAGUGUUGAGCAGAUUGUUGUUCUCAGAGAGGAUGGUGUUGAGGUGGACAUGACACAUUUAACAGGACAGGUCAUGACAGCCCUCAGUGGCACUGUUUUGAACUUCAGCAAUAAGGAAGAAUAUGACCCCGACAAGAGGGAACUGCUUUGUGUUGUUGCUGACCAUAUGAAGAUGCUUGAAGCUUGUAAAAGUCCUGAGGAGAUGCUAAAACAAGGAGAGAGCAACCUCAAUAUCAAAGGUGCCAAAUCUAGUCUUCGUCUGUCAACACAAAGUAUGGAUAGACUACUCACUGAGGAGUUUCAGACCAAGGCCACUGAAUCGAUCCGGGAGAUUGUUAAAAGAUUCAGGGGUUGUACAUUAUGUUGUUCUGGCACUAUAUCAUCUAGUCCAACUCCUCAGAUAGGUGAGAUCAGAGACCUUAUGAUUGACCCUGAGGCCUCUGAGUUGGUAAGUACCUUUGUUUCAGACAUGGACAAUCUUACCCAGUCUAUCAGGGCAUCCUGCUCUCCUGCACAGAGUGAGCAGAUCCUUCUUGAAAACCAUCAGAGUAAGAUCUGGUCUUACACUGUUGGCUGUUACUACGACAUGAAAAAUACGCUGAAGAGGAUUCUUACCUGUCCAGAAAAAGGUUAUCUCGCAAGUACAUUUGUGGAGAGCACAAAAGAUUAUUUCACAAUGGUUCCAACUUUGUGCCUAGACAUCGGUCAUUCCAGUAAUGGUGAGGCUGACACAUCGGACUCCAUUUCUUGUAAACCACUUUUAAUAACCCCCUCAUCUAUGAAUGAACAAAAAGGACAAAGUGAGACCCCAAAACCUCUCUUGGCUCUCAAAAAGUAUUUGCAAGACCAAGUCCUCCUUGACACCACAAAAGCGAUUGCCAGCCAGGUUCUUGUCUUGUAUAAGACUGAGGUGAUGGAGAAGUUCUCAUCUUCUGUUGGAGAGUGUGAUUCUGAAGAGUCUCUGGAGGCCAUUCUAUUCGUGGAUGGCAUCAUGUCUGACUUGAAUGAUUUCACCAGUUCGUGUUCCCCCUCACCAUCUGAGUUGUUAGACAGUGAACAAUGUCUCUCCCAUCUCACUUUUCCACUUGGUCUACAGGACAGCACCACCAACAGUGAAUCUACCCUGAGUCUUCCAGUUAUAAAUAUGAAGAAACUCUCCAGUGUGUCUUUCCAGACAAAGGCUAGAAAGGCAGUGAGCGAAGCUCUGAGAUCUGUCAACCCCUUUACAAACAGCUUACUGGGAGACUCUGAAGCAUCUACAUUGCUGGACACUUUUGUAACAGAUGUGGAGACUAUUGUUCAGUCCAUGCAGGCACAUGACUCUGAAAAUGUCAGAAUUUCAAAAGUGAGCACCCUUCAUGCUGCUCGUAUUAUAUAUCAUAGAUUUCGAGAAAUGCUGAGGCGUUUUCUCACUCCCUGCCAAGACUCUGUAAAGGUCAUCGAUGGUGUUACACCAAUACAUGAUGAGACUCUCAAACAGGCUCCUAGUGAAAGUUUAGAUUCUCAGGUGACUUGUAAUAGGGAUUCUCUUGAAAUCCAAGCGGACCUUCAAACCUGUACCAAGGAGGUCAUUAGUCAGAUCCUCACUGUGUAUCACUCUGAGGAAUCCAUGGAGGAAUGCCUCUCUAGCCUAAAAGGAGAUACAGAAGACCUGUCCAAGCUUUUGGAUGCCGUUGUUUCUCAGAUUGACGUCCUUGCCGCCUCCAAAUCAUAUUUAUCUGUUGAUGACUAUGCUGUCAAUACACAGGACAAUUUGCAUGGUGAGAUCAACAAUGAUGAGGAGGAGGCAUCCUCUAGAAGUCUUAAAUCCACAGCCUUUGACAAACUAUGUACUGAUGAGUUUCAAACGAAAGCCUCACAUAUGGCUGGUGGGAUCCUUCAAUCAGGGUUAAUUGGCAUUGUAAAUACCAGCCUUGAUGGUAGAAGUGCAGACAUUUGUGCAGAGUCCAGUAACGAUGGUGAUGAUAGAGAUAACAAAAUCCUUCAGAAGAGUGGAACUCCACCUUUGUUCACCUCUUCUCUGCACACCAAUUCUGCAGCAUCCAACAUCGUCAUAAGCAUCACUAAAGACCUUAAUAGCUUCACCCAGAUCACUAAAAUGUCUGAUGCUUCAGUGUCUGGCCAGUUAGAGAGAUCCCUGUCAGCUUCAACCCUUCCUGUCAGUGUUCAGAACGGGGCCAAUGUGAAAGGAAAGAUCAUUUGGCCAGGCACUGUAAACCUGUUCAACAAUGUGUUCAUCAAGGUCAAGGAUUUUUUUGCCCAGCAACAACCGGUCCUCCUAGACAAUGUGGUUGAGGCCCCCAAACAUGCCGAAUCCAUAUGCAGAACAGCUACUUCUAAACAAAUGACUUACAGUGAACAUGAAGGCAGCCAGACCAGCAUGGUAAGUUAUUCCAAAGCCUUAAUUAGUCAGACUCUGAUGACAAUCCAGAGGAGAGUGUCUAUGUCAGAGAGGAUGAGCACCUCAGAGAAAGGCCUCUUGACUCGUUCCAUCGUGGGCUCCAUGUUGGAGGAUGUUGACAUGGUGAGAACUGAUGGACACGAGAUACACCGGCCAUCCUCCUCAAAGUCCUCCCUGUCCAUCACCUCUGCCAUGACCAGAGGGUCCCAGAGUGAUUUUACAAAUUCUCUUCCAGGCACUCCAGUCCCCAAUGAGUGGCCUGUUGAAAUCUAUUGUCCUAUCAUUAGGAGUUCGGUCAUUGAUAUGAGUGACUCCUCAACUCAUUCACAAGGGUCAACAAAUUACACAAGGCAAACCAUCUCUGCCAUAGUUGACACUGUUAUGGAGGUCAUUCCAAGAGAAGAUACGGAACACAUAGCCACUGCAGAUGAUGUCACUUCUAUUACAAGAAGACUUGCGAGACUCAGCCCCAGGGACGGUCUUCAGAACUUCUCACAUGAGCUCACUGACAAAGUUUAUGAGCUCAUAAAAAGUCACAACAUCCCACAGGCUCUUUUUGUGCCAGCUGGCAAGAGCGUGUCUGACUCUAUUCUUUUGAAGCUGAAGACAGGAUUGAAUGCUUCUGAAGAAUCUAGGGAGUUUCCAUCUGACCUUGUAUACUCCUUUGCUACGGAGUCAAUAAAACGUCUGCUACAACAGAUUGUCUUCUGGCUUCCUCCACCAUCACAAGGAUCCGAUUUCUGCCAAACUAUCAUCUCUGAUGAUUCUCUGCAGGAAACAAGUUGGCUUAUGCCGAGCUCUUCUGCCAUCUCCGUUAGUUCCUCACAGGUUUACUUUGACACAAAGAGCCUUUUCACCAAUAUAAUGGUCGAUCAGGUCAUGGAUACCUGUUCUGUGGCCUCCAAUUCAUCAGAAGAAUUAUCAGAGUUGAUGAACAUAAUCAAUGGGUUGUCCCCAACUGAUGCUGGAACACUUGACUCUGACAGACCGGCUCUCAUGACCACUAGCCGUCAGUCUAGUUCCAAAUCAUUGCCUGGACCCUCUCUGUCUGGCAGCAGCACACACAACGGUGGAACUGUGGAUAUUCAAGUUUUAGGAGAGGUGGAAUCCAAGAUGGACAACAAAGAUCUGGAGAUGUCUAGUGCCUCUGUGCAUCCAUCAACUCCAUCAGCCAUGGACUCUGAUACACAUGCAUCAUUUGACUCCACUAGCAAUGACUACACCUCUUUGGUACUUUUACUGAUUGUUAGAUUGCUGUCAAUGAUCACCCCUAUCACAUUACUGGAAUCCUCUGACAUUGGUGAAACAUCAAGAGUUCUCACAAAGAGGAUUCUGUCUGAGUUCUGUGGCACCUCAGGCCUUGAACCAACUCAAGCCUACCCCCAGAAUCUGAAAAUCAAAAAGAUUUUCAAGGCUGUCUACAAGGGGCUUCUUCAAGAAUUUGGGUCAGAGAAGAUGCUCCAGGUUGCAAUGAAGUCAACGGAUUAUGCAUUUGACGAUGCCCUGGUCAAAUCAUUAACUAGGGAACUACUAGCUAAAUGCAAUGAGGCUAGCUCUUCACCUCCCUCCAUGACACAGUUGUCAUCACACAAUGUACUUGGCAGUGACGAGGUAGGUAAUUCUGGGAUUCCAACAACUUGUAGAAAGGAAAAGAAGAGAGGAAGAUUCAGCGCUCUCUGUGGACUCAACCCAAAGGUACAUAUGUCAUCAAAAUACACAUUUUUAAGAUUAUUUUUAUUCAUUAUAUGUACAGUAUGAUGGUCUGUAUGAUGGAACACUGUAUGAUGGAACACUGAUACCCUUUGUGUGCAAUUUCUCCUACUGUAUAAAUGACUGUUUGUUACCCAGUGUACAAAGAAGGUCAACAAGAAGAACCACUGCACUCCAACACCUUCCCAGAACCAGACCCCUGCCGUCAGUGAAACAGGUAAGUCAAUACACUCAAAUGUGUACUGAACAAAAAUAUAAACGCAACAUGCAACAAUUUCAAAGAUUUUAUUGAGUUACAGUUCAUAUAUGGAAAUCAGUCAAUUGAAAUACGUUCAUUAGGCCCUUAUCUAUGGAUUUCACAUGACUGGGAAUACAGAUAUGCAUCUGUUCGUCACAGAUACCUUAAAAAAAGGUAGGGGCGUGGAUCAGAAAACCAGUCAGUAUCUGGUGUGACCACCAUUUUCCUCAUGCAGCGUGACAUUUCUCCUUCGCAUAGAGUUGAUCAGGCUGUUGAUUGUGGCCUAUGGAAUGUUGUCCCACACAUCUUCAAUAGCUGUGUGAAGUUGUUGAAUAUUGGUGAGAACUGGAACACGCUGUUGUACACGUCAAUCCAGAGCAUCACAAACAUGCUAAAUGGGUGACAUGUCUGGUGAGUAUGCAGGCCUUUCGAUAUGGGGCCAUGCAUUACCAUGCUGAAACAUUAGGUGAUGGCGGCGGAUGAAUGGCACGACAAUGGGCCUAAGGAUCUCGAGACGGUAUUUCUGUGCAUUCAAAUUGCCAUUGAUAAAAUGCAAUUGUAUUCGUUGUCCGUAGAUUAUGCCUGCCCACACCAUAACCCUACAGCAAACACGACGCCAUAUACGUGGUCUGUGGUUGUGAGGCCUGUUGGACAUACUGCCAAAUUUUCUAAAACGACAUUGAAGGCGGCUUAUGGUAAAGAAAUAAACAUCCAAUUCUCUGGCCACAGCUCUGGUGGACAUUCCUGCAGUCAGCAUGCCAAUUGCACGCUCCCUCAAAACAAGUCAACCAGCGUUUUUCCUUGCUCCUAUUUUUCUCAGUCUCUGUCUCUGAGACAUCUGUGGCGUUGUGUGGUGUGACAAAACUGCACAUUUUAGCGUGGCCUUUUAUUGCCUCCAGCACGAGUUGCACCUUUGUAAUGAUCAUGCUUUUUAACCCACAAGAGUCUACGCCCUGUCUAGGCCGAGGGGUUUGUAUCGGCCUUACUGCUAUUUGCCCAUACGCAUUGAAUAACAGAUUCACUACAUGGAACUGAAGUGUCUGUCCUAAAUCUGAG
ensembl:lncRNA